rnacentral:rRNA from 1 species
CAGCGCCACGAGUGGGGACCAGUAUUAUUGGGCCUAAAGCGUCCGUAGCCGGAUUAGUAAAUCCCUUGUGAAAUUGUUGGGCUUAACCUAACAGCGUGCAGGGGAAACUGCUAAUCUUGAGACCGGGAGGAGUUAGAGGUAUUUGUGGGGUAGCGGUAAAAUGCGAUAAUCCCACGAGGACCACCUGUGGCGAAGGCGUCUAACUAGAACGGGUCUGACGGUGAGGGUCGAAAGCUAGGGGAGCGAUCCGGAUUAGAGACCCGAGUAGUCC